rnacentral:rRNA from 1 species
UACGUAGGGUGCAAGCGUUGUCCGGAAUUAUUGGGCGUAAAGAGCUCGUAGGCGGUUUGUCGCGUCUGCUGUGAAAACUCGGGGCUUAACCCCGGGCCUGCAGUGGGUACGGGCAGACUAGAGUGCGGUGGGGGAGACUGGAAUUCCUGGUGUAGCGGUGAAAUGCGCAGAUAUCAGGAGGAACACCGGUGGCGAAGGCGGGUCUCUGGGCAUUACCUGACGCUGAGGAGCGAAAGUGUGGGGAGCGAACAGG